UCUCAGACUGAAAUUGCUAUCCACCCUGAGGAAGUGGAGAAGGGAAAAGAAACCCAGGGAGCAGAAAAUCCCUCAGGUGCCUCAGACCAGUGUUUUAAACCUUGGAGUGACUAUGAGAUCAGGAGUUUCCUACAAGAAUGGGAGUUGCUUGAAUGUGAGAAGUUGAGGAGGAAUUACCACAGAGCAUCAAGAAUAAUUGCCAGGCAUCUCAAGCAAAGAGGCAUUAAUAAAGGCAGGAGAAAGUGUCUCCAGAUGCUCAUAAACAUGCAUGACUUAUACUGGACCAUUCAUGAAGCCAACCAGAGACCAAGGCAUGAACCCUUGCCAUGUCCUUUUGGAGAGACCCUUCACAGGAUCCUGGGGCACAGAGAAGAGGACAAGAACUCAGAAGAGGCCAACUUCCUACCUCCCGAGUACCAGCGCCCCACCUAUGAGGAGAUGCUCUGGGCUCCUGCACAUGUGGUCUACGUAGAGCAUCCUCAGGUACCCAGAUGGGAGCCUUGGCACAUGAACCUUCCACAGUCAAGUCCAUGGCUGUUUCCUGCCUAUCUCCCUCCAAACC